UACGUAGGGUGCAAGCGUUGUCCGGAAUUAUUGGGCGUAAAGAGCUCGUAGGCGGUCUGUUGCGUCUGCUGUGAAAACUCAGGGCUUAACCCUGAGCUUGCAGUGGGUACGGGCAGACUAGAGUGCGGUAGGGGAGACUGGAAUUCCUGGUGUAGCGGUGAAAUGCGCAGAUAUCAGGAGGAACACCGGUGGCGAAGGCGGGUCUCUGGGCCGUAACUGACGCUGAGGAGCGAAAGCGUGGGGAGCAAACAGG
rnacentral:rRNA from 1 species